rnacentral:rRNA from 1 species
AUGGACAGUGUUCCAGCUCUCGCGCUCUGCUGCCUAAUCUUGCUACCAAGCUGGGCCAAUGGCCUCGGCUCCAUGGGAUCCAUCUCGGUGUCCUACGGCGAGGACGGCCCGGUGUUCUGCGGCCUCAGCUCAGACGGCUCCCACUUGGUCACCUGCUCCGGCGCGGACGCCUCUGUCGUCUACGGUGCUCCCCUCAGGAUCCCCUUCCUCGGCCUCACCGCGGGGGAUGGGUUCGCGUGCGGUCUCUUGCUUGAUACCAGUCAGCCUUACUGCUGGGGGAGCAACUCAUAUGUCAAGAUCGGGGUGCCGCAACCGAUGGUCGAGGGCGUGGAGUAUUCCAUGCUCAGUGCCGGGGACAACCACCUGUGUGCACUGCGAACUCCUGACAAGGGGAUUCCUCGCGGUGUUAACCCUGAUACUUCAGUGAUAGAUUGCUGGGGGUACAACAUGACUGCCACACAUGUUGUCGCUGGAGCCGUGUCGACCAUAUCAGCUGGCUCGGUGUUCAAUUGUGCCUUGUUUGCGCGGAACAGGACAGUGUUCUGCUGGGGUGAUGAGACAGUGAGUGGUGUGAUUGGGCUGGCGCCGAGGAAUGUCAAGUUUCAGUCCAUAGGAGCAGGUGGCUACCAUGUCUGUGGGGUGCUGGAGAAUGCACAAGUCUUCUGCUGGGGAAGGAGCUUGGAGAUGCAGCAGGUGUCGCCUACCGGUGCUAUCGGUGAAGGCGAUGUGAGCAUAGUGCCGAUGGAUGCAAUGGUCUCCGUUGUCGGCGGACGAUUUCAUGCUUGUGGCAUCAGGAGCCUUGAUCACCAAGUAGCUUGCUGGGGUUUCCAACUUCAGAACAGUACAUCAGCACCCAAAGGUCUCAGGUUGUAUACAAUAGUGGCUGGAGACUACUUUACUUGUGGUGUGCCUGCUGAGACAUCGAUGAAGCCAAGGUGCUGGGGCAAUAGUGGGCCAUUGGCACUACCAAUGGCGGUAUCGCCCGGGAUUUGUGUAUCUUCUGCAUGCAGCCCCGGAUACUACGAGUAUGUUAACCAUGGUGAGCUUGGUAGCAGCAAGUCUUGCAAGCCUGGAAACUCUAGACUCUGCUUGCCCUGCAGUGCUGGCUGCCCAGACAACUCGUAUGAGUCCUCGCCCUGCAAUGCCACGGCUGACCGUGUGUGCCAGUUUGAUUGCUUGAGGUGUGUCUCAGAUGAGUGUUUGUCAUACUGCACAUCCCGGAAGCAGACCAACAACCAUAAGUCAAUGGAUUUUCAGAUGCGCAUUUUUGUGGCAGAGAUUGCAUUUGCUGUCAUUUUGAUUUUCACCGUGACAGCCAUUUCUUGCCUAUAUGUACGGCACAAGCUUCGAGAUUGCCGAUGUUCAAAGAGCAAGUUGAGGAUGACGAAGAGUACAACAUACUCUUUUCGAAAGGAUAACACGAAGAUCCAGCCUGACGUGGAAGAUCUGAAGAUCAGGAGAGCUCAGGAAUUUUCCUAUGAGGAGUUGGAACAAGCAACCGAUGGCUUCUCGGAGGAUUCACAAGUCGGCAAGGGCAGCUUUUCAUGUGUAUUCAGGGGCAUUCUGAGAGAUGGGACAGUCGUUGCUGUGAAGCGUGCAAUAAAAGUAUCGGAUGCGAAGAAAAGCUCAAAGGAGUUCCAUACUGAACUUGACCUCCUCUCUAGGCUCAACCAUGCACAUUUGCUCGACCUACUUGGUUACUGUGAGGAUGGCAGCGAGAGGCUCUUGGUUUAUGAGUUCAUGGCUCAUGGAUCCCUGUACCAGCAUCUGCAUGGCAAGGAUUCAAACUUGAAGAAGCAACUCAACUGGACCAGGCGGGUUACCAUUGCUGUCCAGGCUGCUCGUGGAAUAGAGUAUUUGCAUGGCUAUGCUUGCCCACCAGUAAUUCACCGAGACAUCAAGUCUUCAAACAUAUUGAUCGAUGAAGACCACAAUGCGCGUGUUGCCGACUUUGGUCUAUCUAUAAUGGGCCCUGUAGAUAGCGGCACACCACUCUCAGAGCUGCCGGCAGGGACACUUGGGUACCUUGACCCUGAGUACUACCGUCUCCACUACUUGACGACAAAGUCGGAUGUCUACAGCUUUGGAGUUGUUCUUCUAGAAAUCCUAAGUGGCAGGAAAGCCAUUGACAUGCAGCUUGAGGAGGGCAAUAUUGUUGAAUGGGCAGCCCCGUUGAUCAAAGCUGGGGACAUUUCUGGCAUCCUUGAUCCAGCUUUGUCUCCUCCCUCUGACCUGGAGGCUCUGAAGAAGAUUGCAGCUGUGGCAUGCAAGUGUGUGAGAAUGCGAGGCAAAGACCGGCCUUCCAUGGACAAGGUGACAACAUCUCUAGAGCGCGCACUUGCGCUGCUGAUGGGCAGCCCAUGCCUGGAGCAACCCAUUCUGCCAACUGAAGUUGUUCUCGGGAGUAGCCGGAUGCACAAAAAGGUAUCACAGAGGUCAUCUAAUCAGUCGUGCUCAGAGAAUGAGCUCGUUGAUGGGGACGACCAGCGGAUCGAGUACAGGGCACCAUCUUGGAUAACGUUUCCAAGCGUGACCUCAUCGCAGAGGAGGAAAUCGUCAGCGUCGGAAGCCGACCUGGAUGGCCGAACAACCACAGAUGGGAGGAACGUCGGGAGCAGCAUAGGAGAUGGUCUGCGGUCAUUGGAGGAAGAGAUUGGGCCGGCGUCGCCACAGGAAGACUUGUACUUGCAGCACAACUUCUGA